AAAGUACUCCCUCCGUCCCAAAAUUCUUGUCUUAGAUUUGUCUAGAUAUGGAUGUAUCAAGUCACAUUUUAGUAUUAGAUACAUUCGUAUCUAGACAAAUCUAAGACAAGAAAUUUGGGACAGAGGGAGUAGUUG
rfam:Triticum aestivum genome assembly, contig: Triticum_aestivum_CS42_TGACv1_scaffold_067709_1DL